UGACUUUUCGGCUUGUUUUUUGACAUGUUCAGCUUUGAUACUCUCAUGUCUACAGCUGCAGCAAGUAUACAAAAAGAUGAUGAGACCAUGUACUGAUUCCAACAACUGACACAGAAGAGGCCCAUAUUGCUUACACUGAGAAUUCCAUGCCUCCUGCAAAUUUAGCUGUGACCAAGCAUGUUUUCAGCAGUAUGGUGGCUGGCAGAUUAAGAUGCCUUGGUUCGGACAUAACCAUACACAAACACAGGAGGGCACCUGGAGUUAAGAAUAUGGAAGAAGGUUAAUGCCAGAGGAGUACUGCAGAUACUGCUUCUCUGAUUAGAAACCACAAACACCAUGCAAACAAGUGCCUGGACUCAAUGCCAUCAGCUUCACAAGGAUCUGGAUGACCAUCAUUCUUUUCCCCUCACUGGCCUACUUCU